CUUACACUGAGCUCCAUCUCUGUGUCAUGCCUGUAGGUUAUUAGUAGUAUGAUUUAUCAAAUGCCUCAGCACUUAGCUGUAUGUCCCACUCAUUCUCCAUUUCCCUCUGCCUCCUCCUCUAUUGUGCAGUCUUUCUGUGGCCUUUUUCUUCCUUAAAGCUAAUCCCUCUAAUUUUCUGUCUGAUUCGGCCCCUUUGGUCCCCAUGCACACAUCUACAGUUAGUUCUUGUGCAUGCGCCUUUUCACAUUUUACAUUUCUCCAUUCUGCAUUAUCAACCUGGGACUGACAAGAGAAUUUAGAGCAAGGAGUGAAAUACAUAUACUGUCCAGCCUGAAAAAGUGGCCACCAGGAUUUAACUAAUCAAAUAGCCAUCAGUUUGUAGAGAGCAUAAAGGUUGGACUGUGUUUCAUGGGAAAAAGGUCAUGUGGUCUGAUGAGUCUAGAUUGACCCUGGUCCAGGGUGAGAUGAGAGGUGGAUGAAGUGAUUACCCAUCAUGCAUAGUGCCUACAGGACAAGCCUGCAGGGGCAAUGUUGUGAUCUGGAGCUGGUUCAGUCAGUCAGGUCUAGGUUCAACAACAUUCUGUGUCCAAAACAUGAGGUGAACUGAACCUGAACAUACUGAAUGACAAGUGUGUUCCCAUUAAUGGAUUUCCCCUGGUGGCACAGACAUAUUCCAAAGUCACAAUGCCAGGAUUCAUCAGGCUCAAACUGUGAAAGAGUGGUUCUUUGAGCGUGAGACAUCAUGGUCAACAUAGAGUCCAGAUCUGAACCCCAUUGAGGAUCUUUGGAAUGUGCAGGAGAAGACUUUACACAGUAGUCCAACUUACACAUCGUCAGUAAAUUAAGAAAAUUAAUGCAAAUGUGCAUAAGCAUUGCAUGCUACAAACAAUGCCAUUGCAGACUUUUUUUGGUUGGGCAAUCUGUAUUAACUCAUAUUUACUGCUUUGACUUAGAUAUUCACUUGAACUGUUUCUAAUUAGGUGGAAAAUUGUUAACUUCAAAGAGGUUAAGUGUAAAAGGUUAACUCCAUUAUCCCUUCAGGAAAAUUUGGUCUCUGUAUUUUUGGAGGAACAUUUUGACCAUUUGAUCAUCUAUCUGCCUUUUUCAUCCUCCAGACUAUUGUUAUUAUAGCAGCCUUUUAAGACCCCAUAAUCAGUGAACCUCUACUUUAUAGUCAGGCAAGUACAGGACUUCAAACAAGACAUAAAACAUAUUUCAAGGAGUUUUUACUUUAUAGUGCCUGAUGAGAGUCUUCAUAAGACUGAAACAUUUACUAAAAUAAAAUAAAACUA